UUGCAGGAUAUUCAGACGACGAGUAAGGUACCGUUAGGGUCGCGAGUCUGCACUCAGCAUCGCCAGUGGGCCUUUUAAACUGCCUGCUGAAUCCAUGAGCAGGCAAGAGACAACCUGGCGAACUGAAACUUCUUAGUAGCCAGAGGAAAAGAAAGCAAAAGCAAUUCCCGUAGUAGCGGCGAGCGAAAUGGGAGCAGCCUAAACCGUGAAAACGGGGUUGUGGGAGAGCAAUACAAGCGUUGUGCUGCUAGGCGAAGCGGUUGAGUGCCGCACCCUAGAUGGCUAAAGUCCAGUAGCCGAAAGCAUCACUAGCUUACGCUCUAACCCGAGUAGCAUGGGGCACGUGGAAUCCCGUGUGAAUC
rnacentral:ncRNA from 1 species